rnacentral:lncRNA from 1 species
UCAAUAGGAAAUCCAUUGGGCAGCAGACCCCUCACCCUUCGAAUUCCACGAAGCACCCUUGCUGUCACGACACCCAACUCUCACUCGAGUUCAUGAACCAUCCUUUCAAGUUCCUACACGGUGUCAAUCAGAGUCGCCAUGUACCAAAUCAGAUCAGUCAUAUCUAGAACAUGCAUGAACAAAUAACGUAAAACACUAAACCACAUAUAGUACCAAUUGGAGAUUUAACAAAAAAAAUGUAAAACUUAACUAGAAAAUAGAUGCAUGUUAUUGAUUUUUAUAUUAGAACAAGAAAAUAAAACAUACCUCAACGGACGAACAAGAAAUUUAUUUUUGAAAGAGAAGUGAUUGAAGAUAUAAUGGCGGUUUUAUGCAAGACAAGAUGCAAGAGAUAGAGCUGAGGAGACCUAUUUAUAAAAGAUUGAAUGAGUGAGUAGUGCGGUGUGUUAGGCAAAAAAUCACGACCGUUCGCCUCUUUUUUAAUAAUUAUAUCUUAAAUCGAACUUGGUGACUUUUCUAUUAUUUAAAUUAAAAAAAUAUAUUUAAAUACAAAAAAGGUGAAAAGUCAUAACUUUUCAUCUUUUUGGUAUUUUAGUUAUUUAAAUUAAAUAGCUACAAAAUUGUGUUUAUCAUAUUUUUUUCAUAUUAUUUAUUUAUGAAUCAUUUUUUAAUUAAAUGAUCGAAAAUUCAUGACCCUUGAGUUCUUCCAACAGGUGAUCUGUUUGUUGCAACAUAUGGUCCAUCUGUUACAACAGAUGACCCUUCUGUUGCAACAUAUGACUCAUCUGUUAGAGUAAUUGAUUCAUUUUUACAACAUAUGGUUCAUCUGUUACAAUAGAUUAUUUAUUUGUUGCAACAGAUUAUCUAUUUUUUGAAAAGAUAAAUCAAUAGCAAGAUUUAUUCAAUAGAAAUAAUAACAAAUCAUCAUUUAUCAAUACAACAUUUUUUAUGAGAUUAAUUGAAAUCGUAAUUGAACUUACUAAUUCAUCUUUAAUUUUAGUUAAAUCAAUUUAGUUAUUUCUAAUGAUGGAUUAGUUUGAAUCAUUUCAAAUAAAAUUGGUUAAUUGAUCACUCUACUCAGGACAAACAUACUUAGAUGAUCGUGUAAUUACCAUGAGAUUAAUUGAAAUUGUAAUUGAACUUAUUAAUUCAUAUUUUAUUUUAGUUAAAUCAAUUAGUUAUUACUAAUAAUGGCUUAUAGGUGAAUAACAAGUUGCAACAGAUGAGUAAUCUGUUGGAAAAGACCAAACAAUUAAAAACAUUUGUUGAAAAUAACCAAACCGAUAUAGACAUCUGUUGCAACAGAUGACUAACUUAUUGCAAUAGCUAACUCAUCUCUUGAAAAUUAUCAAAUAAAUAUAGACAUCUAUUGCAACAGAUGACUAAAUUGUUGCAACAUAUGACUCAUCUAUUGGAAAUUAUUAAAUAAACAAGAUAUAUGUUGAAAAACAAUUUAAAAUACUAAAGUUCAAAUAUUUUUAGGAGAACUCAAACAUUUGUCCUCUUGUUUAAGGUCUUGUAUUAAAGACUUGUCUUCAAUUUUAAUUAAAUUAUUUUAGUUAUUAUUAAUAACUGCUUAAUUUGAAUAAACAAAUGACUAACUUGUUAUAAACAUCUGUUGCAAUAUAUGACUAACUUAUUGUAACAAAUAGAUAAUCUGUUGGAAAAUAAUUAAACUACUAGAAAACUCAAAUAUUUUUAGGAGAAUACAAAUGUUUGUCCCAUUGUCGUGGAGAUAUCUUUAAUUUUAGCUAAAUAAAUUUAGUUAUUACUAAUAAUUGCUUAAUUUGAAUCAACAGAUGACUAACAUGUUGCAUCAGAUGAUUCAUCUAUUAAAAAUUAUCAAACAGAUAGAAAAUUUGUUGUAACAGAUGGGUCAACUAUUAGAAAGUAAUUAAAAUACUAGGAAACUUAAACGUUUUUAGGAGAACUCAAAUGUUUGUCCCUUUGAUCAUUUUGCAUUUGAUGUAUGGUAUAUUAUUUUUUUUCUUUACCUAUUUCAUGAAUUUUUUCAUGUGUUUUACUUAUUCGUUGUGCCCCUAUUAAAAAUUUUGAAAAAACUUUUAGGUCAAAUUUUUUCGUAUAUCACUUGGACAUUACUUCAUAACUUAUUUUGUAAGUAAAAUUAUGAUUUUUGUUGAAUUUCUUAUUUGGUGUAUCUGCUACUGCUACAAUGGAUAGAACCUGCAAUGUGAAUCCAACAUAUGAGUCAUCUAUUGCAACGAGUGAGUAAUCUGUUGCAAUAUAUGACUAAUCUGUUGCAACAGAUGACCCAUAUGUUGGAUUCAUAUUACAAAACUAUAAAACGAAUCCAACAAAUGAGUAAUCUAUUGCAACAGAUUAGUCAUAUAUAUUGCAACAGAUUACUCAUUUAUUGCAAGAAAUUACUCAAAUAUAUUGCAACAGAUUACUCAUAUGUUGCAACAAAUUAGUCAUAUAUGUUGUAAUAUAUUAGUCAUAUAUGUUACAACAGAUUACUCAUUUGUUACAAUAAAUUAGUCAUAUAUGUUGCAACAGAUUGUCAUAUAUUUUGCAACAGAUUAGUCAUAUAUGUUGCAACAUAUUACUAAUUUGCGCAACAAAUUAGUCAUAUAUGUUGCAACAGAUUACUAAUCUGUGCAACAGAUUAGUCAUAUUUACUUUACAUGUUUUAUCCAUUGUUAAAAAACAACAGUAGCAGAUAAAUCCAGAUGAGAAAUUCAACUAAAAAAUAACAAACAUUAAUAAAAAUAACAAAAACAUAAAAAAUAACAAAUACCAACAAAUCAAAUUCCUCGUUUUCGUCAUAACUUAAAAGCCCUAAUUUUUUACCUGUGAAAAUUGAAAAGAAACGAUGAAGAACUCGAAGUUGUUGUCGCUGGAGAAUGUUGUCACGUUGACUGACGGUUGAAAGUAAAAAAGGAACGGGCAAGAACUCAAAACUAUUUGUUGCCAGAGGUUGAAGUUGCACAAGAUUGAAGGGAGAAAUUUGGAAAGUUGUUGGUUGAGAGAAGUUAGAGAGACAAACUAUCGAGAGAAAGAGAGAAAUGAGAUUGAUUUAUAGAGAGAGGAAAGUUUUGUGGAUGUGGGUUAAUUUGUAUUUUUGAAAGGAUUAAAAAAUUUGAAAAAUAUUAAUCAAGUCCACAAUUAACCUAAUUAAGUUUUUUAAUUAUGUUUGACUCUUUAAGUUGGUCAAUGUCAUCAAUCAUUCAUUCAAGACUUAAAAGACACCUUUCCUUCAAUUUUAUCAACUUUUUGCCCUUCAUUAAAAAAUUCUAUAAAAGUCGGAAUUGUCUUUUCAUUAUUUCCUUCUAUUAUUAUUUAAUAUCAUAAAAAAUAUUAGGAGAAUUAAUAUUUAAGGAAUCCUAUAAUAUAUGAUAAAACUUCUAAAUAUAUGGGAAAGAGAAUUAAUGUAAUUUUCUUUUUUCUUGUGUAACUGAAGAAAAUAAAAGAAGAAUUCGUGUAGACCCUCAAAAUAUAUGGUAAAAAGAAUUAGAAAAAGUCUCGUAAAAUAUAUGAGAAGAAUAAUUAUUUUAAUUUUCUUUCAUCACACACAAUUUGUUGCAAGUAAUUCAAGGAUUAAGUUUUAUGUUGCUUUUUCUAAAUUUAUUUUUUCAGUUCUAUUGUCUCUCCACUCUUAAUUGAGAUUAGCAUUCCUGUUUAAUUCUUUUAGCAUUAUAAAUUAACACGAUACACACGUUCAAAGCACACUUGACUAGUUAUAUUGAAAGUGUGACGGAUCUUAAAAAUAUUGUUUGAACUUUUUAUUCUUCAUUAAAAAAAUUUGUAAUAGACAAAAUCAUUUUUUUACCUUUUUUUUUAAAACAAUAUUUAUUAAAUAUUGAUAUUAAAUAUUAAAAAGCAUUUUUUUGGGUAGAAAAACAUACAAUCUAAUUUUCUUUUUUUCUUUUGGCUUUUUGAUGGACUCCUAAUUAUUUGGGAAUUCAAACUCCUAUAUAUAUGGAAACUUUUCUUCGCUUAGCUAUUGUUUACUCUUUUUUUUCCUUUUUUCCUCCAUUAAAAUUCUAAAAUAUAAUUUAUUUUGUGAUUCCUAAAUGUAUGGAAUGCCAAACUCUUAAAUAGGGAUGUUCAAAACUGAACAACAACUAAUAAGUCAAUCGCAAAAUUUUCUUAUUGGUUUAUUAGUAUCGGAUUAUUGAAUUAACAGUUAAAAAACAAAUUAAAAUCUUAUAAUUAACAGUUUAUUGGUACGGGGAUGGAUUACUCAAUUUUCUUAUUGGGUAAACUGUUAACCCGUUAAAAACUAUUAGAGUUAAUUUUUAUCAUUAGCUAUAUACUUUAAAGUACUUAUUAUUAACCCUAAAGUUUCAUUUAAUACUCUACCGCUCCUUAAAGUUGAUCAAACCAAAAAGUUACUCCUUAAAUAUUAAACCAAAAUAAGUUGUUUUACUCUCUGAUUUUGACUUCCGAUUAUGACAAGAAAGCUACAUGUUUUAUUACCUAGUUCACAGGCAUCAUAGUUAUGUAACGAUACGAUUUGCAAGUUGAAUUUCUACUGAUCUACUAGCUCGUUAGUCCGGAGUUUGGACCACAUUAGACUUGUCUUCACUUCUAAUAAAUAAAUAUGUAUACUUGAAGUAUAUUUUUGCUAAUAUUUGUUAAAUAAAUGCUUAUGUGUAUGCACUCUCAAAAUUUAAGAUCUUACGUAUUUUCACUCUGAUUUAAAUUACAAUUAUAAGCUUAAGUAGAGUAGAAAAAAUAAUUUCGUGGGAGAUUAAUAAUAUAUUGGUGAGUGAAAUUGUGAAAGUGAAAGAAGGGAGUAUGAAAUGGUUGAGCCAAUACAACGUCCAUUAACCGUCCGAUCAUUACUAAUAUGAACCGAACUAAUCGAUAUCUUAUUGGAGGGAUAGUGAAUUAGUAUAUUUAAAAGUCGAUUUUCAAUAAGCCGAAUCGUUACGCAUAUUUAUCCCUUCAUCCUCCCGAUAAGCACUGAUACCCCUAAAUAUAUGGUAAGCUUUCUUAGUACCUUUUCUUCACGUUUUUUCUAUUUUUUAUUAUUAUUUUAAUUUUAUCCUUAAAUAUUCAGUUGAAAUCUUGUACUGUUAUAGUUAAAGUGGAAAAUAAUUAUCUAAUAUGAAAACUAAUAAUUAGAUGACUAUUUUUAUGAGAAUAACUAAUUUUUGUUUUAAGUCUUGAAUCUUUUUAAGUGUAGAAUUUAUUAGGUCCAGGAAUUAUUAUAAAAUUUGUUUGUCGUGUAUUCUUCUAAAGAAGGACAUGGCUGCUCUAAUUCAUCAUAAUUGUCUUAGAUCAUGUUCAAAUUUUAUCUUUAUUUUAUUGUAAAAUAAUUUUGUGUAACAAAUUUUUAUUUUUGAAUGAUAUAAAUAAGAGUAAAUGCACUGUUUUCAUCCUGAAUUAUAAACGAAAUUAUUAAGAUAUACCCGAACUUAAAGGGAGUCUUAUUAUCCCUUGAGCUAAUUAAAACCAUAUUUUUGGCAACCUUAGUGGCUACGUGGCACAUACAUGGACCUUCAGUGUAUUGAUUCACGCAGUGUGCCACGUAGCCACUAAGAUUGUAAAAAAUACGGUUUUAAUUAGCCCAGGGAGUAAUAGGACCCCCUUUAAGUUGGAGUGUGUCUCAGCAAUUUCUUUAAUAACUCAGGAUGGAAACAAUGCAUUUUCUCUAUAAAUUAUUAUAGUUCUUCAUUCUGAUUCUUUUUAUAUUUUGGAUUUUGAAUGAUAUAAAUUGCCGAGUUAUUUAUUUUAAUUCUUUUUAUGUAAUGAUCUUUUUUUUUUUGCCUUAUUUUAUGAUAUUUUUAAAUUUAUGAUAAAGAAAAAAAAUAUUAGUAUGAUGAAGGCCUAAAUAAAUCUGGCUUCUUGAUUUUUCUAAAGAUUUCUAAUCAAUAGUUGGUAGAUUUAUUACAGUAGAAAGUAUAGCAAUGCGCCAAAGAGCAUGGUCCUUCUGAAAAAAUCAAUCAAAUCAAGCAGAGGUUAUAAGGAAUUUCUAAAGUUUGAAAUAUAAAUUCUUUUAGCAAACAUGUUAAUUAUUUUGAGACGACGAAGGAAGUAUAUGUUUGGAUGCUACUUGCCCACAACUAAUUAAGAUUUUGUCCACAAUUUUCACUUCAUCAUAAAAAUAUUUAGCAGCAAGAUAAUGUUUUAGAAGCAAUUAUUAGUGACAAUUAUAUUUUAGCAUUUUUUUAUAAAUGGCCCUAAAGGUUAUAGCGCCCGCCAUCAGAUCCAAUGAUGCUUAACUAUUGUUGCUAAAAGUAUUAACACUUUUUGUUAAAGUGCAUAUUUAUUACUGCUAAAAAUCUUUAUUGUUGUAGUUUUUGAAAUUAAAUAUAAUUAAAGAAUUUGUAUCCCACUUUGCUAAACGCAUCUCAGUUUAUAUAUGAAUGGGUUAAUUAUGCUCUUUUGAAAUUCAAAUAACAAUUUGGUAUUAUAGAAAAGAAUAAAAAAAAUUCAUACUGUUGUUGUACUGAGAAAGUUAACCAUUUGUAGACUAGUAUGAGUAAAUGCAAGAACCGUUUAUACAAUUAAACAUGAAUGGCCUUUAGCCUUCCCCCAUUCUAUUCAAUUGUAACAAUAUAACAUGGUUAUUUAUAUGAUGAAAGUAUUUGUCUAACUUAUCUCAUCAAAUAAAAUAAAUUGAUGGAACAGUUAAUUUAUUGGGCGCAGGCAUGAUUAACAAGUGAGGUGUGGGAGCUUUAGGUAUUGAAAAAGCUUAUUGUUAUAAUUUCAUUUUGUUUACUAGUUUAAAUUCUCUCUCUAUGUGUUUGUAUAUCAAAGGCAACAGAGUGAUAAAGAAAUGGAGAAAUUUCUGUUAUCUUUGCCUUCUUGAACAAAGGUAAAAUCAAAAGAACAUUCUUUCUACUAUUAGUCUUAUUAGUUUAACUGUUUGAGUUUAUUUUCAUGUACUAGUCAGUUGCUACAUAUAUCUAAUCAUUCUUUUGACUUAAUGUUUUUUGUUAUUUAAGUAUCAAUAUAAAAAGAAUUAUCAGUCUCUUUAUAAGUUAAUUUUAACGGUAAGCACGGAUAUAUUCACUAAUUUUAAUUAAUAAACACUCAAAUCUACUUUAAAUAAGCUAAAAUUUGAAACAAAAGUUUCAUUUAUUGUAACAAACAAACUUCAAUCAUCAGCCUUUUUUAAAAAAAAAUAAAAUCCAUUGAAUAGUUAUUUUAAAUAAUUACCUAAUUGUGUAGUAUACAUAGAUGAUAUACUACUAUACACAAAAACCAAAGAAGAACAUUUAAAAUUACUAGAACAAUUUACAAAUAUGAUAGAAAAAUCAGGAAUAAGCUUAAGUGAAAAGAAAGCUGAAAUUAUGAAAAAUUAGAUAGAAUUUUCAGGAAUACAAAUAGAUAAGAGUGAAGUAAAAAUGCAACAACAUAUAGUACAAAAAAUAAUAAAUUCAAAAGAAGAAUUAAAUAAAAAAAAAUUACAAUCAUUUUUAGUUAACACUCUUUUAUUUUUUUUCAUGUAUGUUUUUGUAUUUCAGUCAUGUAUGGCUGAAAGUAUAUUAAAUUGUUCAAAAGUUUCACGCAUGUGCAUCUCAAAUUUUUUAUUAAUAAAAUAAUAAUUUCACUUUUAAAGUCUCAAUGCUUUGACAGAGGCUUAUCUUAUGCUGAGAGACUUCAGAUUAUCAGGACAGUUCCUUUGGUGUGCAGGCCUACUGGUCUCAGCUCUUCCUUCUGCCCCAAAAGGUUAUUAAUUUAAUUGAGGCUGUGUGUCGUAGCUAUUUUUGGACUGGGGAAUCCAUUGUUUCGAGAAGAGCCCUUGUGGCAUGGGUAAAGGUGUGUUUACCAAGAUGUGCUGGUGGACUCAAUUUAAUCAACCUCAAGAUUUAGAAUCAGGCCGAUGUUUGCAAAUUUUUAUGGGCUUUGAGUCAAAGACAAGAGAAAUUAUGGAUUACAUGGGUCCACACUUAUUAUAUAAGGCGGAACAACAUCAUGUCUAUGACUACACCUCCUCAAGCAUCUUGGAUGGUUCGUAAAAUCAUGAAUAUGAGGAAAGUAUGGCCUUCUCUGGAUAACCAUGCAACACUAAUCCGAAGAGGAAAGUUUCAAAUCAAGGAGGCGUAUAAACUACUAAGAGGGGAGGGUAUAAGUGUACCAUGGAGGGGUCUCGUCUGCUACAAUGUUGCUUGUCCCAAACACGUCUUUAUUCUAUGGUUAUCUCUCCAUGAAAAGCUACGAACUAAGGACAAGUUAGUGAAUUGGGGGCUAGAUAUUAAUAACAUAUGUGCAUUGUGUGAUACUCAAGUGGAAACCUUGUCUCAUCUGUUCUUUGAAUGUGAAUUAUCCAAGGAAAUAUGGAUUGGAAUUUGGCGUGGCUACACUGGCAGAGACAAGUGCUAACAUGGGACCAAGAAUGACAAUGGAUUUUAAAGUCCAGCAGAGGCAAAAACCCGAAAGGAACACUUCUAAAGGCAUGUUUUGCGAAUCUGAUGUAUGCAAUCUGGGAGGAGAGAAAUAUGCGUAUUUUUAGAAAUAGGAGAAGCACCAGGGAAGUACUGAUUCAUUCUAUACAAACAGAGAAAUGUACUAGAGUGAGGAUGCACAACAAAUUUUUUGAUACUAUCUUGGAACUAUAGAGCUUAUUCUAGUUGUAGUGGUGAAUUGAGUUGUUUUGGUUUCUAUUAGAGGAGCUAACAGGUUUGGUG